UUGCGGCAACCACAUGUGACGACCCCGGGCUGGAGUCCGCUUCUUCCAUCGGUGAAAGCCGAUCUAGCGAUCCACAGCGUGAAGUUGAUGUAUUCUC